GUGAGGAAUAUUGGACAAUGGGCGCAAGCCUGAUCCAGCCAUGCCGCGUGCAGGAAGACGCAUCUAUGGUGUGUAAACUGCUUUUGUACGGGAAGAAACACUCCCUCGUGAGGGAGCUUGACGGUACCGUAAGAAUAAGGAUCGGCUAACUCCGUGCCAGCAGCCGCGGUAAUACGGAGGAUCCAAGCGUUAUCCGGAAUCAUUGGGUUUAAAGGGUCCGUAGGCGGUUUAAUAAGUCAGUGGUGAAAGCCCAUCGCUCAACGAUGUAACGGCCAUUGAUACUGUUAGACUUGAAUUACAAGGAAGUAACUAGAAUAUGUAGUGUAGCGGUGAAAUGCUUAGAUAUUACAUGGAAUACCAAGUGCGAAGGCAGGUUACUACUUGUGGAUGGACGCUGAUGGACGAAAGCGUGGGGAGCGAACAGGAUUAGAAACCCGUGUAGUCC
rnacentral:rRNA from 1 species